UAGUCCUGCACUUGACCAAAAUGUUGCUGC
rnacentral:piRNA from 1 species